GCACCUUUCUCGGCCUUUUGGCUAAGAUCAAGUGUGUGUGAUACCCUUUUCAAUGCCUUGAUUACAACUCUUCUACGGAUCAGUUGCGAUGGCUAAGAUCAAGUGUGUGUGAUACCCUUUUCAAUCCCUUGAUUACAACUCUUCUACAGAUCAGUUGCGAAGGGGGAUUCCAACCAUCUCGUAAAUAGGUAUUACCUUCGAUUAAAGCACUUAAUGAGGUCUAAACAUUAGCCAGUUCAAUAGCCAAGACCCAACUCCGAAAUCUCACUUAGAAAUACCUUAAAUCCCAAACCUAAUGGGGGUAAUAAUCAGGUGGCCUUGCAGGUCCAGAACUGCUAGUUGAGAGAAAAGGGCAUCCCUUUGUCAUAUCCAUCUACUAAAGGUGUGGGAUAUUAGGCGACAACCAACAGUACUCAACAUGGGAGAAUAUGUACCUUUCAGAAAAGUAACACCAUAAUCUGUGACCUUACUGGAUGAAAUUUGCAACACUUUAAGAUUUGUCAGGCCUGAAAUACAAACAUAAAACAACUUUAUCACAAACAAAAUAUGAACACAGAACAUUUCAGCACAAGUAGUAAAAAGAUCGCCUGCUAUCCUCUAUAUCUCAUUGAAGUUCAGCUUUCCGUGCAUGAGGUGUCACAUUAAGUAAUUUUGUGAAAAUUAAAAAGCAAAAUUCAGCAUGCGCACAAUUUUGUACCAGACUACUCCACAGGGUACUGUUACCUCAUACCAGCAUAUGUACAGGGUAACUGCCACCAAAGGCUUAGGCAUAUGGGAAGAAAUCACCUAAUAUUUUUUUGUUUCUGUUGGAAUUUGAAACCUGAUCCCCAAGGUCUGAACUCACUUCACUGGCCACUAGACCACCCUACGGGGUGCAAUAUUGUCGACACACUAUUUCUUGUGUUAUUGCAACGAUAUCAAACAAAAGAAUAGGACAGGGAACAUCUCAGAGGGAAUCAAGCAGUUUCCCCAAAUAAUUUUUUAUCGUUCUGUUGCUUAUAUCUCACUUAAAUUAAUGGCACGCGUCCUCGACAUACUGUGUUAUAUCCAAAAGGUCCGUGUCUAGUCGAAAGAAAUGAAUACUCCAUUAAACAAAUCAUAAGAGUUGAGGAGAAAUAUCAAAACAACUAUCCUACUACCACUUGUAUGGAUAAUAAAGAAAGAAUAUUAUUAGCAUUUCUUAACCAGAUCUACAGCAGGGAAACUAAGAGACGUGUAGGAGAAAACAACACAAACAUUCCCAUACAAUUCAUAUUCCAAUUUUCCUAAAUCCUUGCUGUUCCUGUCUUAACACAAAUAGAAGACCUAUCUAUAAGAGACUUGCAUAGCUAGAGACCUGCCUUGACAGACGCAUAUGCACGGACAAAAGGUGUCCUUAACAUCAAUGACCUUCAACAUAAGCAACUGAUUGUGAUUUACAAUGGAAAAAGGCUCAUGUCUCUUUCAGUUCGAUAACUAAAGCCUCUAAAUUAACAUAAUUAUCAGUCUUUCAGUAAUAGCAGGCCAUAUCUUAAGGUUUCAUUUCACCCUUCCUCUUUCACAAUUCUUUCCCCAAGUUAAAUGCUUUCUUAUUUAUGUUUUUUCCGAUAUACAGAUACGAGGCGAUCUGAAUAGUAGGACAAGGCAGACAUACCCGCAAGAGGCUUCAUAUCCGAAUCUGUGAUGCAGUUGCAGCAAUUGAUAUUAAGAGAUUCAAGCCUGGUUAGACCUGCCACGAAUAAAAAUCCUUGGAUCAAGUUCAGUACAUUUAUGCACAGAAGACAAUGGGGGCAUAAAAUCAUGGUUUUGCUAAAAUUAACUAUACUAACUGUAUAGAGUAUUUGGUGCAAUUUGGAAAACCAUAUGGUUUUGCUAAAAUUAACUAUCUCGGGUAGGUUCUCUACUUUUUGAUUUACUUCUUGUAUAGGGAAAUUUUCCCACUUCAAUAAAAUUACUUCAUAAUAUAUAUAUAUAAGCUCAUACAGAAAUCAAAAUGCCACAUAACAGGUUAUACUAGAGGAAACCAGAAACAUCAGAACAAGCUUAAAAGUACAACCCCGGGCGCAGAUUCUUGCAGGUUCCAUAAGAAAAGAUGUAGAAAGCUAACAUCAUCAAUUUCAUAAUACCACCAUCAUGUCAGUUAUUCUGCAGUUCACCACAAUCUUACAGUCAUAUCAAUCACAUCAUAUAUAAAGAACAAAAGCUUUUUUUCCAAAUCAGUAAUGAUAUUUUAUUAUUCGAUAAAUGGGAGACUCCAAUACACAAGAUAUAUACACAACUAGUUACAGAUUCUUCUCCAAAAAUCCUAUCUGAUCCACCUAUACACAGGGAAUUGACUUGUGUUAAAAGAAAUGAAGCUUGAACGGUCAUCCGGGAGUUUAGCCAUUCAUAGACUUGGACGCAAGAAUUUCGACAGCCAAAUUAAGACAACAAACUUUUUCAUGGAGUGUAUAACUGCAACAGUAUUUUGGCUUUUCAAGCUUGAAACUGUAAAGGGUGCUGUACGAACUAUAGCCAGUUAAGCACCAUAAGGGAAAAGAACAAACCUUUAAGAUGAACCAUACCGCCGUGAAUUUUUGGGCACCUCUCCAAAUCUAACUUCAGCAAGUUAAUUAACUCAGCCAACGCACUCAUCCCUUGAGCAGUAAGUAUAUUGUUUCUCCUAAAACUCAGAGUAGUCAAGUUUGAUAGACCUGAAAUCAUUGUGUAGUUAGCAGCUAUACCACAAAUACAGAAUGGAAGGGAAUAUUGGAAUUUUGGGUUGGGGGGNNNNNNNNNNNNNNNNNNNNNNNNNNNNNNNNNNNNNNNNNNNNNNNNNNNNNNNNNNNNNNNNNNNNNNNNNNNNNGGGUUGAAGGAUCAUAGUAUCUCAAAAAAUUUGAAUAGAUAUUAUUAUAUUUGUAAAGAAACAGCAGAUAAUAAAAAACCAAAUGAAUAAAGGAAACUUCUAUCUAUAGAACAAUUCCAAAGAAAACACAACUUUAAAAUCAAACCUAAAUAAAACCCCAUAUAUUGUUUUUAGAGAAAUUUGUUCAAUGUAUCAUGCAGCUUAAAAGGUAGCCAGUACUACUAUGGAAAAAUACAAGGCAAAAAACAAACUUCCCCUGCAAAGUUUAUCCUUCAAAACUAGAUUCACUAGGAAAUAUUAUAGCGCAGUUCAUCCAGCAGUUCAAGGACUACGCCUUCCUUCUUUAACUUAUUGCCAUUUAAAUUUGUUCUCUUCCUUUUCUAUCCCCAACACUGCUAAAGCCUAAAGGAGAUGUGCUAUGAAUGUUUAGAUGACUUAGAUACAUUCCUCCAGUAAGACAGCACAUCAGAGGGAAAGGAAUAUUUACCACUUAUAUUUUCCACUCCACGGUCCGUAAUCUGGUCACAAUAAUUAAGAUUUAGUGCUUGCAGAUUUUUGCAAUCUUUGAGAUUAGUCAGUCCAGAAUCUGUGACAUCAGAUGCGGACACAUCUAGGGAAAGUAGAGAUGGACCCUGUGAAGAGAUGAC
rnacentral:lncRNA from 1 species